UAUACAUGCAGUCGAGCGAACGGACGAGAAGCUUGCUUCUCUGAUGUUAGCGGCGGACGGGUGAGUAACACGUGGAUAACCUACCUAUAAGACUGGGAUAACUUCGGGAAACCGGAGCUAAUACCGGAUAAUAUUUUGAACCGCAUGGUUCAAAAGUGAAAGACGGUCUUGCUGUCACUUAUAGAUGGAUCCGCGCUGCAUUAGCUAGUUGGUAAGGUAACGGCUUACCAAGGCAACGAUGCAUAGCCGACCUGAGAGGGUGAUCGGCCACACUGGAACUGAGACACGGUCCAGACUCCUACGGGAGGCAGCAGUAGGGAAUCUUCCGCAAUGGGCGAAAGCCUGACGGAGCAACGCCGCGUGAGUGAUGAAGGUCUUCGGAUCGUAAAACUCUGUUAUUAGGGAAGAACAUAUGUGUAAGUAACUGUGCACAUCUUGACGGUACCUAAUCAGAAAGCCACGGCUAACUACGUGCCAGCAGCCGCGGUAAUACGUAGGUGGCAAGCGUUAUCCGGAAUUAUUGGGCGUAAAGCGCGCGUAGGCGGUUUUUUAAGUCUGAUGUGAAAGCCCACGGCUCAACCGUGGAGGGUCAUUGGAAACUGGAAAACUUGAGUGCAGAAGAGGAAAGUGGAAUUCCAUGUGUAGCGGUGAAAUGCGCAGAGAUAUGGAGGAACACCAGUGGCGAAGGCGACUUUCUGGUCUGUAACUGACGCUGAUGUGCGAAAGCGUGGGGAUCAAACAGGAUUAGAUACCCUGGUAGUCCACGCCGUAAACGAUGAGUGCUAAGUGUUAGGGGGUUUCCGCCCCUUAGUGCUGCAGCUAACGCAUUAAGCACUCCGCCUGGGGAGUACGACCGCAAGGUUGAAACUCAAAGGAAUUGACGGGGACCCGCACAAGCGGUGGAGCAUGUGGUUUAAUUCGAAGCAACGCGAAGAACCUUACCAAAUCUUGACAUCCUUUGACAACUCUAGAGAUAGAGCUUUCCCCUUCGGGGGACAAAGUGACAGGUGGUGCAUGGUUGUCGUCAGCUCGUGUCGUGAGAUGUUGGGUUAAGUCCCGCAACGAGCGCAACCCUUAAGCUUAGUUGCCAUCAUUAAGUUGGGCACUCUAAGUUGACUGCCGGUGACAAACCGGAGGAAGGUGGGGAUGACGUCAAAUCAUCAUGCCCCUUAUGAUUUGGGCUACACACGUGCUACAAUGGACAAUACAAAGGGCAGCGAAACCGCGAGGUCAAGCAAAUCCCAUAAAGUUGUUCUCAGUUCGGAUUGUAGUCUGCAACUCGACUACAUGAAGCUGGAAUCGCUAGUAAUCGUAGAUCAGCAUGCUACGGUGAAUACGUUCCCGGGUCUUGUACACACCGCCCGUCACACCACGAGAGUUUGUAACACCCGAAGCCGGUGGAGU
rnacentral:rRNA from 1 species